rnacentral:lncRNA from 1 species
CUCAAACAGUAAAACUGAAGUCACAUAUUUUCCUCUCCACCUCAUUAGGUAGGAUGUUUAUCAGAACUUAACUACAUAUGGAGCACAAAACCCACUGACCUUUGGCAGCACUUAGACAGAAAGGCACUUCUGGGGCAUACCACAUGGAAUAAUCUUUUUCUACUACGCUACAGAGUAAUUAUGAAUCUUUAAGGAAAAAUGCAAGCACUCUGGAAAUCAAAGAACUGAACAAAAGCCCCAGGAGAUUUUUGAAAGAAGACAAGCUACUUUCGGAAUAGUUCCAGAAGAACACACACCUGCAUCACUACACCGAAGAGAAUUAGCCCACCAGCGAUGGCAGGGAUCUCAGGGCUCAGACAUUUCCCCUUCCCAGAGAGGCCACUGGAGACAAG